rnacentral:rRNA from 1 species
CCCUUAGAUGUUCUGGGCCGCACGCGCGCUACACUGACGAAUGCAACGAGCUUAUAACCUUGGCCGAAAGGUCUGGGUAAUCUCCAAAUUUCGUCGUGAUGGGGAUAGAUUAUUGCAAUUAUUAAUCUUCAACGAGGAAUGCCUAGUAAGCGCAAGUCAUCAGCUUGCGUUGAUUACGUCCCUGCCCUUUGUACACACCGCCCGUCGCUCCUACCGAUUGAAUGGUCCGGUGAAGUCUCGAGAUUGUGGCAAUCUCCUUUAUUGGAGUUUGACUGCGAGAACUUGCCUAAACCUUAUCACUUAGAGGAAGGUGAAGUCGUAACA